rnacentral:lncRNA from 1 species
UUGUUUUUAAGAAGGAGAGAGCCCUCUGGUGAACCUAACCGACAGAUCGCUGGUGACCCCGAAAAGAAGCGGAAAAUCCUCCCUAGACGAGUUUGGGAGCCUCGGGACCGCGAGCAGAGGCCUGGGGAGCCCGCUCCACGAGAGCACCGUUGCGGGACAGACGCCCCAGGGGCCCUCAAGUCUUCCCAAUAGAAGAGUUACAUGUUUGACCCAGUGUUACGAUGGCCUUAGGCCUGAGCCUAAGCAGCUCCACUUUAAAAACUCCAGUUUGAGACCUGCAGUCUCACCAGGCACACCCACAGAGCCCUCCAGUGUGGCCUCAGACAAGACCCUUCGCCUCACCCUGAUAAACAGAGUGAAGCCCCUGGCAGGCUGUUCCUGCCUGAUAAGAGGAAAAGGAGAGAAGAUCAGGGCGGAGACCACCAGACCAGAGGUUUCUGACCCCAGGGUAAAUGAUGUCUCUGAGAAAUCUGGUGGUAGCUGAUAAGGAUUGAAAGGCGGGUCAAAC